GAUGAGAGCCUUCAUCAUUCCAUUGUCUUAAAUGUCUCUGUUUUGCAUCGUAGGGCAGCUUCAAUGUGCCACACCUGCACCUCCGAUCAGACCCACCAAGUUGUAUGGAGAAGGCAUCCAUUUCACCUGCUGUCUGAAUGUCUCGACAGCCCCCGUUAGGGAAACUGUCAACGCCUGCUAUGAACAGAAGGAAGACACAUUUGCUGAUUGUAAAAUACAUUCGUACAUUUUUGUUUCUGAGAGUAAGCGAUGCUAUUGUGUGGACCCAAACGCCAGCUGGCUCCCAGAUCGUCGCAAGAAAUUAGAGGAACGUGGAAUAAUUUGCCAACCCCCGCCACUGAACCUCGACUGCUGACGUGAAGAUGAUGGACCAUGACCUAUUGCCAGGAUAUAUUAACACUGGCACUUUUUGCGGUGUUAUUUUCUACUAACAGAUGAAAUGAUUAUUUUUCUCUGUUUUUUUUUAAUACAUUCAAAGAUAUGACUUACAGGAAUCUUACUGUCCUCUAAACUAAUA